AGUUUCUUCCUAUCUACUGCCACGUACCAAAAUGACCAAGGGUUGAUUGUAGUUUUUCCAAAAUUUAUUAAUUCAUAUCAUGUUGUGUGCUGAUGUGAUUUGUUCCAAUUGUAAAACCAUUAUUUAUGUUCUAUAUGUGAUGUAUCUAAUGAAGUAUUCCACAUCCCAUUGUAAUAGUGGCAGUUGGGUUAUGCUGAAUAUGAGGACUUUAUGUACAAGAAUGACCAACGUGUAAGGGAAAGGAAGAGUACCUGGUAAUGCUGCUGCUGGAGCAUAUGGGAUGCAGUAACAACAAUGUAAUAGGGUUGUUCAUUUUUCCUUCAAUAUUGUAAAGGAAUGGAGUAGGAACAUGGACAACACUCAGUAUUUGUUCUUUUAUUAUAGUUAAGGGUGCUGGUCAGUGUUGUAUUGGCGACUGAUUGGACAACAACUGUGAUUGUAAGAUGUGAUCCAAAGUGAUAGGUUUAUUAUGGGGUAUGGUACUAAUUUCAU
rnacentral:lncRNA from 1 species